GCCUUCGUGGUGUAGUGGUUCGCACGCUGGGCGCGUAUUCCAGAGGUCUGUGGUUCAAGUCCCGGCGAGGGCA
rnacentral:tRNA from 1 species